GAGUGGCGAACUGGUGAGUAACACGUGGGAAACCUGCCCAGAAGCGGGGGAUAACACCUGGAAACAGAUGCUAAUACCGCAUAACAACUUGGACCGCAUGGUCCGAGUUUGAAAGAUGGCUUCGGCUAUCACUUUUGGAUGGUCCCGCGGCGUAUUAGCUAGAUGGUGGGGUAACGGCUCACCAUGGCAAUGAUACGUAGCCGACCUGAGAGGGUAAUCGGCCACAUUGGGACUGAGACACGGCCCAAACUCCUACGGGAGGCAGCAGUAGGGAAUCUUCCACAAUGGACGAAAGUCUGAUGGAGCAACGCCGCGUGAGUGAAGAAGGGUUUCGGCUCGUAAAACUCUGUUGUUAAAGAAGAACAUAUCUGAGAGUAACUGUUCAGGUAUUGACGGUAUUUAACCAGAAAGCCACGGCUAACUACGUGCCAGCAGCCGCGGUAAUACGUAGGUGGCAAGCGUUGUCCGGAUUUAUUGGGCGUAAAGCGAGCGCAGGCGGUUUUUUAAGUCUGAUGUGAAAGCCUUCGGCUCAACCGAAGAAGUGCAUCGGAAACUGGGAAACUUGAGUGCAGAAGAGGACAGUGGAACUCCCAUGUGUAGCGGUGAAAUGCGUAGAUAUAUGGAAGAACACCAGUGGCGAAGGCGGCUGUCUGGUCUGUAACUGACGCUGAGGCUCGAAAGUAUGGGUAGCAAACAGGAUUAGAUACCCUGGUAGUCCAUACCGUAAACGAUGAAUGCUAAGUGUUGGAGGGUUUCCGCCCUUCAGUGCUGCAGCUAACGCAUUAAGCAUUCCGCCUGGGGAGUACGGCCGCAAGGCUGAAACUCAAAGGAAUUGACGGGGGCCCGCACAAGCGGUGGAGCAUGUGGUUUAAUUCGAAGCUACGCGAAGAACCUUACCAGGUCUUGACAUACUAUGCAAAUCUAAGAGAUUAGACGUUCCCUUCGGGGACAUGGAUACAGGUGGUGCAUGGUUGUCGUCAGCUCGUGUCGUGAGAUGUUGGGUUAAGUCCCGCAACGAGCGCAACCCUUAUUAUCAGUUGCCAGCAUUAAGUUGGGCACUCUGGUGAGACUGCCGGUGACAAACCGGAGGAAGGUGGGGAUGACGUCAAAUCAUCAUGCCCCUUAUGACCUGGGCUACACACGUGCUACAAUGGAUGGUACAACGAGUUGCGAACUCGCGAGAGUAAGCUAAUCUCUUAAAGCCAUUCUCAGUUCGGAUUGUAGGCUGCAACUCGCCUACAUGAAGUCGGAAUCGCUAGUAAUCGCGGAUCAGCAUGCCGCGGUGAAUACGUUCCCGGGCCUUGUACACACCGCCCGUCACACCAUGAGAGUUUGUAACACCCAAAGUCGGUGGGGUAACCUUUUAGGAACCAGCCGCCUAA
rnacentral:rRNA from 1 species